rnacentral:rRNA from 2 species
UUUAAUUUGGUUGGGGUGAUUUUUAAAGAUUGGGAAUCUUUAAAUUCAAAAAUUGAUCCAUUAUUAGUGAUUAUUUGAAAGAAAUACUCUAGGGAUAACAGCGUUAUUAUUUUGGAUAGUUCAUAUUGAUAAAAUUGAUUGCGACCUCGAUGAUGA